rnacentral:rRNA from 1 species
CGGGCAGACUUGAGUACUGCAGGGGAGACUGGANUUCCUGGUGUAGCGGUGGAAUGCGCAGAUAUCAGGAGGAACACCGGUGGCGAAGGCGGGUCUCUGGGCAGUAACUGACGCUGAGGAGCGAAAGCGUGGGGAGCGAACAGGAUUAGAUACCCUGGUAGUCCACGCCGUAAACGGUGGGUACUAGGUGUGGGUUUCCUUCCUUGGGAUCCGUGCCGUAGCUAACGCAUUAAGUACCCCGCCUGGGGAGUACGGCCGCAAGGCUAAAACUCAAAGAAAUUGACGGGGGCCCGCACAAGCGGCGGAGCAUGUGGAUUAAUUCGAUGCAACGCGAAGAACNNNNNNUGGGUUUGACAUGCACAGGACGACUGCAGAGAUGUGGUUUCCCUUGUGGCCUGUGUGCAGGUGGUGCAUGGCUGUCGUCAGCUCGUGUCGUGAGAUGUUGGGUUAAGUCCCGCAACGAGCGCAACCCUUGUCCUAUGUUGCCAGCGGGUUAUGCCGGGGACUCGUAGGAGACUGCCGGGGUCAACUCGGAGGAAGGUGGGGAUGACGUCAAGUCAUCAUGCCCCUUAUGUCCAGGGCUUCACACAUGCUACAAUGGCCGGUACAAAGGGCUGCGAUGCCGUGAGGUGGAGCGAAUCCUUUCAAAGCCGGUCUCAGUUCGGAUCGGGGUCUGCAACUCGACCCCGUGAAGUCGGAGUCGCUAGUAAUCGCAGAUCAGCAACGCUGCGGUGAAUACGUUCCCGGGCNCUUGUACACACCGCCCGUCANGUCANGAAAGUCGGUAACACCCGAAGCCG